CUAGAACCGCUAGAGGAGGAAGUGUUGGAGGACAUUUUGAAUCAAAUAAAAAUCUUGAAAAAAUUAGAAAAAAUAAGAAACAAGGCGCUCGCAGAGAAACUGAACGGGCGGAAUGUAGAGGAGGAAAAAUGGAAGAACAGCAAGAAAAAGAAAGGUUUCGAAACUAACCUAGGCUGGUCCAAAAGGUGCAGGAGGGCAGCAAAGGCGAUGGAGGUCGACCUGAAGGGCACCUAAGACUGAGAG
rnacentral:lncRNA from 1 species